GACGAACGCUGGCGGCGUGCUUAACACAUGCAAGUCGAACGAUGAAAGAGGAGAUUGCUCCUCUGGAUUAGUGGCGAACGGGUGAGUAACAAGUGAGCAAUCUGCCCCUGACUCCGGAAUAACUACGGGAAACUGUAGCUAAUACCGGCUAUGCGCCGCACAGGCAUCUGUAUCGGUGGGAAAGAAUUUCGGUCAGGGAUGAGCUCGCGGCCUAUCAGCUUUUUGGUGAGGUAACGGCUCACCAAGGCGACGACGGGUAGCCGGCCUGAGAGGGUGACCGGCCACAUUGGGCCUGAGACACGGCCCAGACUCCUACGGGAGGCAGCAGUGGGGAAUAUGGCACAAUGGGCGCAAGCCUGAGGCAGCAACGCCGCGUGAGGGAUGACGGCCUUCGGGUUGUAAACCUCUUUUAGCAGGGAAGAAGCGAAAGUGACGGUACCUGCAGAAAAAGCGCCGGCUAACUACGUG
rnacentral:rRNA from 1 species